CCUACGGGAGGCAGCAGUGGGGAAUAUUGCACAAUGGGGGAAACCCUGAUGCAGCGACGCCGCGUGAGUGAAGCAGUAAUUCGUUAUGUAAAGCUCUAUCAGCAGGGAAGAAAAUGACGGUAACUGAGUAAGAAGCCCCGGCUAACUACGUGCCAGCAGCCGCGGUAAUACGUAGGGGGCAAGCGUUAUCCGGAUUUACUGGGUGGAAAGGGAGCGUAGACGGCAGUGCAAGUCUGGAGUGAAAGGCGGGGGCUCAACCCCCGGAAUGCUCUGGAAACUGUACGGCGGGAGUGCAGGAGAGGUAAGUGGAAUUCCUAGUGUAGCGGUGAAAUGCGUAGAUAUAAGGAGGAACACCAGUGGCGAAGGCGGCUUACUGGACUGUAACUGACGUUGAGGCUCGAAAGCGUGGGGAGCAAACAGGAUUAGAUACCCGAGUAGUC
rnacentral:rRNA from 1 species